GGGACUGUGGGGUAGCUUGGCCCAUCCUAGGUGGUUCGGGACCACUUGACUCCAGUUCAAAUCUGGACAGUCCCA
rnacentral:tRNA from 1 species